rnacentral:rRNA from 1 species
UACGGAGGGUGCAAACGUUGCUCGGAAUUAUUGGGCGUAAAGAGCGUGUAGGCGGCCAGGUAGGUCUGCUGUGAAAACUCGAGGCUUAACCUCGAGCUGUCGGCGGAAACCAUCUGGCUAGAGUCCGGAAGAGGAGAAUGGAAUUCCCGGUGUAGCGGUGAAAUGCGCAGAUAUCGGGAAGAACACCCGUGGCGAAGGCGGUUCUCUGGGACGGUACUGACGCUGAGACGCGAAAGCGUGGGGAGCGAACAGG